rnacentral:rRNA from 1 species
GUGUCAGCCGCCGCGGUAAGACGAAGGGGGCUAGCGUUGUUCGGAAUUACUGGGCGUAAAGCGCGUGUAGGCGGUUGCCAUAGUCAGGUGUGAAAGCCUUGAGCUCAACUCAAGAAAUGCACUUGAUACUGGGCGACUAGAGGACCGGAGAGGAUAGUGGAAUUCCCAGUGUAGUGGUGAAAUACGUAGAGAUUGGGAAGAACACCAGUGGCGAAGGCGGCUAUCUGGACGGUUUCUGACGCUAAGACGCGAAAGCGUGGGGAGCAAACAGGAUUAGAUACCCGCGUAGUCC